CCUACGGGAGGCUGCAGUGAGGAAUAUUGGUCAAUGGGCGCGAGCCUGAACCAGCCAAGUCGCGUGAGGGAAGACGGUCCUAUGGAGUGUAAACCUCUUUUGUCGGGGAGCAAAAGACGCCACGCGUGGCGUUCCGAGAGUACCCGAAGAAAAAGCAUCGGCUAACUCCGUGCCAACAGCCGCGGUAAUACGGAGGAUGCGAGCGGUAUCCGGAUUUAUUGGGUUUAAAGGGUGCGCAGGCGGAAGAUCAAGGCAGCGGUAAAAUUGAGAGGCUCAACCUCUUCGAGCCGUUGAAAAUGGUUUUCUUGAGUGAGCGAGAAGUAUGCGGAAUGCGUGGUGUAGCGGUGAAAUGCAUAGAUAUCACGCAGAACUCCGAUUGCGAAGGCAGCAUACCGGCGCUCAACUGACGCUCAUGCACGAAAGUGUGGGUAUCGAACAGGAUUAGAUACCCGAGUAGUC
rnacentral:rRNA from 1 species